rnacentral:tmRNA from 1 species
GGUUAAGACUUAAAGGCUAAGGAUGAGUUUGCCCGCCUACCGGCUGGCUCAUCACAAAAACCAAAGGCUGGAUAAGCAUGUAGAAAGCCGCCAGGUGCGACGUUUGGACAGCGGUUCGAGUCCGCUCACCUCCACAA